UUAGCUCCAUGGCGUUAAAUUUCUAUUAUCCCACCGCUAUUUAAUUCCUGCAUGAAAUUGUUGAGUGAACUCAUCAAGAGUGUUGGAAUGUGGUGCCAUCAAAUAUGCAGAUUAUCCCCCCUGCCCCCCUUCAAAAAAUAAAUCCUAAUUCUUCAUCUUGUUCAAAUGAGGCAGUAGAAAUGCCAAACCAGUGUUUGGGCUCAGUAAGAGACUGAAGAACUGUCAACAAACUUAAACUCAGUCCUGAUUAUCAAAACUGAGUUUGGCUUAUGUAUUUUGUGGUUUUAUAUUCUGACUUUAUCCUUUGAACCAGCCUGAGACCUGCAGAUAUAGGGCGGUAUACAAAUUUAAUAGCUGCAGCAGCAACCACAACAUCUGAAUUCAUUUCCUUUUCGAUGUCAUUUGUUUACUACUACAGGCCAAUGUGGCUGUUUCAGAGGCAAAUGAAAUGUUUUCUUCCCCCUUAGCGGAUGACUGCUCAAGUCUUCCUACAAGACUAAUAUCCCUGGUGGUCUUUUGAAGGCGCUAAAUGACAUUUGCUGUGAUCAUCUUGGCCUUGGUUUUUCAUCAGCCAGAGGAGCUGUUUAUAGCCUCAUUUUUCCUCCAUGGCAAAGUCUCUUAAUUAAUGCCCCAUGAUGAUUAGGCCUUGUGCAUGCAACCUACUAAGCACCAUGCAAAUGAGGAAUCCUUCCCUACCUUCUCCUUUUUCUCCUUGGGCUUGAUUUGUUUUACACAGCUGCCUUUUGGUGCAAGUCCAACAUUUCAUUUUGCCAGCAGCAGCUCUGCAGGUUAGGUUGUAGAAAGCAGAUCACCCGGCAGCAUUCUAGAGCCGACGUCGACUGCUUUUACAUGAUCUUACAGGCAAAUGCCAUAGCUCAAUGGCAGUACGCAUGCAAAAUGUCCCAGGUUCAAAUCCCCAGGUAGGGCUAGGAAUGCCUCUGUCUGAAAUUCUGGAGAGCUGCUGCCAGUGACAACAGUACAAUAAGUUUGAAACUUGGAGAAUCAUCGUUUAAUGCAAGGAGGGCACACAAAUCAUUUUGAAGGCCUCUCGUUUUUUAACUUGAGGGAACCCUUUAUAACCUUGCCUAGAAAUAAGCAUUGUUAGAAUCUUGGCUUAAACCAUUCCGCUAACUCUGCUUCCCCGUCCACACUAAUAUUGUGCUGUGGACAUCGCUAAACGUGGGCGGUCUGGGUUUUCUACUAUACUUAAAAGGACCUUUAGAAUUGUUGCUGAAUAACGAAUAAUCUGAUCGGUGAGAGAAGUGGAGAGAUGAUUCAGCAAACUUGCAGACAGAACAGUAGCUGCUUCAAAGAUGUGAAGGGACAUCAUGACUCAGGAGGGUCAAGGUGAGUGGGUUGUCAUGGUAACAAUGCCCCGUCCUCUGUGAUCGCUAGCUGCAGGUUUAAAUUUAUUUAAUUUAUGCCCCAAGGAAGUAUUGGUUGGUGGAUGCCUGUCUGGCUGCUGCAGGUAAACAAAGUUAGGCUCCCUUGCACCACUCCUCAGUUCAAGGGAAGGAGGAACAAGGCUGGUAUUUCUCCCCCGUGGCUGUUUUUGAUAGGCUUGUGCACGCCUUAGAAGUUUGUACACCAGCAUGAGCAAGAGUUGCCAGCUGCAGGUAUUCUAAUCCGCCUGCGGGACUGACAAUGUACAGUUCUACCCUAACAGCACAGGUGGGAAGAUGUUUUUUACAUCUUACCUGGCAGGUAUUUUGAUGAGCUUAAAGAGAUUUUUCCAUUUCAAUUACUUCUCAGCAGCAGUGCCAGAUAGGAACAGUAUUGGCAUGAGAGAGACAGAAGGGGAGCUUAUCGCUGGAGAGUUGUGCUGAAACUGCUCAGCCACUAAUUAAGUUUACAAAAGCCGUUUGAAUUCACUGGAAUGCAGCUGGAGGCAACCUGAAGCCGCCAGGCAGGGUGCUUUCCCUGCCAUCAAAGUGUUGAAAUCGGAAAUGAGUUGAGGCAGCAGCUGAUGCCAUUGGGAUAAAGCUUAGCAGUGUUCAGUAGCCAUCUCAAAGCUUGGGCAGGAGAAAGAAAGAUGGGCUGACUAAACAAGAGGCAAUAAAAUUGUAUGUAAUCAAUUUGAACUGAAGUGUGGAGGACGAAAUAUCAGGGAACUUGAGCUCCUGUGUCAGUAUCAAACUUCAUUCCGCUCACAGAACAGCAUAAGAUAAAACAUACAGAUAAGACUUAAAACAGCCGGAACUCGCCGGAACUCAGUUCUCAGGUGGGAGACAUUGCCAUUAUAAGAGAACACAGGAGGUGUUCAUGGUGAGUUCUGGCACCUAUUUUUCUAGAGUAAUAGCAGUGGAUAUAGUACGUAAGAUGCUAGCCUGAUUUGAGCUUCAUGGGCUGGCAUAUGGGGGAAAGGCCUUUUCAGUGGUGGCUCCAGUUCUUUGCAAUGCUCUGCCUAGGGAAUUUCUUCAGGCCUGCUCUGUUGUGAUCUUUUCUUUUUCCAGCAGGCUUCUGGAGAUAACAGCUGAACUUGGGUUUUUAUACAAUUCCUGUGUUACAGGGGAUUUUUGGGUCCUGCUGUUUUAAUGGUGUAUUUGUUAGCAGGUGUUCUGUUUCUGCUUUGUUUAUAUUUUUUGUGCUUCAAAUCACCCCGAGGGUUCAAGUUGCUGAAUAUUGGGAUAAAAAAGUGAAUAAAUUAAUAACUCACAAGCAGGUUUCAUACAUAAGCUAAAUAUACAGUGAUAAUGAUCUGGAUAUAGCAUAGAAGCCAAUGGUUUGUGCUUAUUCUAACUACAAAUUAGCCUAGUAAAAUUGAAUGUUCUUUGAAGCAACUAAGUUAACUAUCUUCUACAACCAGGACAGUGUUAACUGGAUUAUAAAACAUCUGGCCUUAGUAAUUCUGCCAGGCAUGCAGUUUCUUCUGUUGCACACCGCAGACCUGCUGAGGCUGAUGUUGAGGAAAACACAAACAUGCAUGAUGACACAUACUGACCUUCUCAGGAGUGUCAAUCCACUGCUUUAUCAGUGUCAUCUAACACAGCAAGACCGUUCAUUAGCUUUAGUUCCCUGGAUAUUUCUUUCACAACAUUUAUAUACAGCUUGAUUGUAAUAAAACCUCAAAGCGGUUUAAGAUGCUGUUUCUUUCUUUCCCAAACUGAUGGAGAGUGAAGGGUAGCUUUUGCAUGUUGGGAGAGCAGUUUCACCCUGACUAGCCAUGGAGCAGGACCUAUUAAGGCCCUGCUAACAUCAAUCUGAUCUCAACCACCUCCUAACUGCCUGCCUUUUUGCUAUCAUCCCACCCAGGAGGGGACCCUAUCAACUUCUUCCUUCUUAGCUUCAGUUUUGCCAUUGUAGAACUCAGCAGGAGGAUGGGGACAAAAUUUGAGUAAGUUGGCUCUGCCUAUGGCUCCCUGUCUUCUACCCCACCAGCCCCACUGGGCACCAACCACCUCUGCUUAUCAGGAUACCCAGGUGAGCUCUGUUGUUGUCAUAGUGGUGGUUUCUCUCUGUAUAGCAUCACUUGUCAUGGACUUAAUAUUUUCUAUGAAUUUCUACCAUUUUUUGUUCAAAAAAAUAGAGGUACAAAGUGGAAUUUCACAAUCUUAUGGUUUACAUUGUUUGGGGCUUUAAUGCUGUUUUUAUUGAUCCUGGUUUCCUCUCAAAUUUUAAUUUUAUAGUAUUUAUAUCUGCCGCUACAUAUGGUGCAGUUUAUUAUAAAACCAUUCUGAGGGUACCAGAAAGCAGAGUAAAAUAAAAUAAAUGAAACAUUGCCAGUUCUCCAUUAUAAUUUCAUGGAAACUAAAGAAUCAGUAGAAGUGUGAAUUACAACAACCCUGUUUUUAAAAGACAAUGGCAUGAGUGUUCAUGGGAAAUAUUGUCAACCAGAAUUGUAGAAGCAUGCAGCAUGUGCAAAGUUAGAACAUGCCGAACAAACAAAUAAAGCUUAUGUAUUUCAA